GAUGAGCGCUGGCGGCGUGCCUAAUACAUGCAAGUCGAGCGAACGGACGAGAAGCUUGCUUCUCUGAUGUUAGCGGCGGACGGGUGAGUAACACGUGGAUAACCUACCUAUAAGACUGGGAUAACUUCGGGAAACCGGAGCUAAUACCGGAUAAUAUUUUGAACCGCAUGGUUCAAAAGUGAAAGACGGUCUUGCUGUCACUUAUAGAUGGAUCCGCGCUGCAUUAGCUAGUUGGUAAGGUAACGGCUUACCAAGGCAACGAUGCAUAGCCGACCUGAGAGGGUGAUCGGCCACACUGGAACUGAGACACGGUCCAGACUCCUACGGGAGGCAGCAGUAGGGAAUCUUCCGCAAUGGGCGAAAGCCUGACGGAGCAACGCCGCGUGAGUGAUGAAGGUCUUCGGAUCGUAAAACUCUGUUAUUAGGGAAGAACAUAUGUGUAAGUAACUGUGCACAUCUUGACGGUACCUAAUCAGAAAGCCACAGCUAACUACGUG
rnacentral:rRNA from 1 species